AGAGUUUGAUCCUGGCUCAGAACGAACGCUGGCGGCGCGUUUUAAGCAUGCAAGUCGAGCGGCAAGAGUACUUCGGUACUCCUAGAGCGGCGGACGGGUGAGUAACACGUGGAUAACCUGCCCCCGGGUGCGGGAUAGCCCAGGGAAACCUGGAUUAAUACCUCGUAAGACCACGCUCUGCAGGGAGAGUGGGAAAAGGCGCUUCGGCGUCGCCUGGGGAUGGGUCCGCGUCCCAUUAGCUAGAUGGUAGGGUAAGAGCCUACCAUGGCGACGAUGGGUAGCCGGCCUGAGAGGGUGAACGGCCACACUGGAACUGAGACACGGUCCAGACUCCUACGGGAGGCAGCAGCUAAGAAUCUUCCGCAAUGGGCGCAAGCCUGACGGAGCGACGCCGCGUGGGCGAGGAAGGCCGCAAGGUUGUAAAGUCCUUUUCGGGAAGGGGAAUAAGAGUGAUAGGCAAUGAUCACUUGAUGACAUGAAUCCCGGAAUAAGCCCCGGCUAACUACGUGCCAGCAGCCGCGGUAACACGUAGGGGGCGAGCGUUGUUCGGAAUCAUUGGGCGUAAAGGGCGCGCAGGCGGCGUGUAAAGUCUGGCGUGGAAGUCCCCGGCUCAACUGGGGGAUUGCGUUGGAAACUGGCACGCUUGAGUACGACAGGGGAUGGCGGAAUUCCAGGUGUAGGGGUGAAAUCUGUAGAUAUCUGGAGGAACACCAAUGGCGAAGGCAGCCAUCUGGAUCAGUACUGACGCUGAGGCGCGAAGGUGCGGGGAGCAAACAGGUUUAGAUACCCUGGUAGUCCGCACAGUAAACG
rnacentral:rRNA from 1 species